UCGGCUUAGAGUUUGAUCAUGGCUCACAUUGCACGCUGGCGGCAGGCUUAACACAUGCAACUCCAACGGUAAAGUAGCUUGCUACUUACUAGUGGCGGACGGGUGAGUAACUGGGAAUUUACCAAAUGGAGGGGGACAACAGUUGGAAACGGCUGCUAAUACCGCAUAACGUCGAGAGACCAAAGGGUUUCGACUUGCCAUUUGAUGAGCCCAUAUGAGAUUAGCU
rnacentral:rRNA from 1 species